AUCUACUACACAGCCACUAAUAUAGCCAAAAUUGAAGCACAUAUCUGAUGAUUCCAUGUGGAAUUCAACUACUCUGAGUUUUCUGGAA